UACAGAGGGUGCGAGCGUUGUUCGGAAUCACUGGGCGUAAAGGGCGUGUAGGCGGUCAGGUAAGUGGGACGUGAAAUGCCUCGGCUCACCCGAGGAGCGGCGUCCCAUACUGGUUGGCUUGAGUUUGGGAGAGGGAUGCGGAAUUCCAGGUGUAGCGGUGAAAUGCGUAGAUAUCUGGAGGAACACCGGUGGCGAAGGCGGCAUCCUGGACCAAUACUGACGCUGAGGAGCGAAAGCCAGGGGAGCAAACGGG
rnacentral:rRNA from 1 species